CGCCUCAGGAAAGUCCGGACAGCAUAGGGCGGCGCGCUGUGGAAAGCACAGAUGGGCGUAAGCUUAUGUCGCGCGUAACAGAAAACAACCGGCCCGCUUAGGCGGACCAAGGGUGAAAAUGUGGGGUAAGAGCCCACGGGGAUGUGCGGCGACGCACAUCCGGUACGCGCCCGCGCGCUGCAAGGCCAAAUAUACCGGCACACAAGGGUUGCCCGUCCUUUGCCGGGGGGUAGGCUGCGUCAGAUAAAUGACAGAGGGGCGCUCCGGCGCUCACGGAACCCGGCUUACAGCCUCACCUU
rnacentral:RNase_P_RNA from 1 species